GAGACACAUAUUUAAUAUUUCUUUGGCAAAUCGAGUCUCAAGCCUUGCCCAGAAAAUGAGAUGACAGAGCAGUCUACGACAAGAAGCAACAGCAAAAGCAUGCUACCGCUAGCUGUGGACAAAGGGACAAAAGCAAAAGAAAAAAGGAGCUGAGUGGAGCAGAUGCUCAAAAGCUGCAUGAACUGCAUGCCCUUGCUGAAUGCUUAUAUGGUUUUACAACAGUAGGUGUCAGUAAUGCCUUAAGAUGAAAUGAGACCACCAUUAGAAGAAGAACAGCAAGCAAGAGGAGGAGAUGAGGAAGAAAAGGAUCUGAAAAAGGAGGCUGAGAGGAUUUUUCAAAGUCAUUAAGGUGAAAACAAACCUGUCAAGGUAGUUCACUAUGUUGGAGUUUUUGUUUUCCCUCAUCACCAAGAUCUCAUUGAUGAUCAACUCUUUCUUGGGCUGCUGCUGCAAGUUCAUCUGCUUAAUGGCCACCUGAGAAAACAGACAAGAUAUACUGGGUGUACAAUAAGUUCCCCUGAUGGUUCGUAAUUCAGCCAAGUUCCCCUCUGCCUCUGCCCCCCUGAAGUGGUCACUACAGCUCCCCAUCUCCUGCAGAGGCUGGCUGUUCCUGAAAUUGCUCUAUUUCAGUAACUGUGACGGCUGGUUGAUGAUCAUGGAAAG